CUGUCUGAAAUUAAUAAGAAGUUGUCUGCGGACUGGGCUGCUCAAAGAAGUUCUCUGAAACAAAAAGAGCAGGACAUCUCCCAACUUAGGGGAGAGUUGGGGGCUGCAAGGUUGGAACUCGCAGCUGAACGUGCCAAGGUCAUCAUCAAAGAGUCGAUGAUUGCUGAUCGUGAGGUGAACCUUGAUUCUUCUCGGAAACAGAACUCCAUACUCUCCGACCAACUGAGUGAGAUUUAUGAGGAGAACAAGAAGUUGCUGGAGUCGCA
rnacentral:lncRNA from 1 species